rnacentral:rRNA from 1 species
CCUACGGGGGGCAGCAGUGGGGAAUUUUGGACAAUGGGGGAAACCCUGAUCCAGCCAUGCCGCGUGAGUGAAGAAGGCCUUCGGGUUGUAAAGCUCUUUCAGCCGGAACGAAACGGUCACGGCUAAUACCUGUGACUACUGACGGUACCGGAAGAAGAAGCACCGGCUAACUACGUGCCAGCAGCCGCGGUAAUACGUAGGGUGCGAGCGUUAAUCGGAAUUACUGGGCGUAAAGCGUGCGCAGGCGGUUUUGUAAGUCAGAUGUGAAAUCCCCGGGCUUAACCUGGGAACUGCGUUUGAAACUACAAGGCUAGAGUGUGACAGAGGGGGGUGGAAUUCCACGUGUAGCAGUGAAAUGCGUAGAGAUGUGGAGGAACACCGAUGGCGAAGGCAGCCCCCUGGGUUAACACUGACGCUCAGGCACGAAAGCGUGGGGAGCA